AAAAAGAGGAAUAAAAUAGUUUACUUAAGACUUAUUUAUUAUUAUUAUUGAAUUUCCAUUUUCAACAGAGAACUCAAGAUGAUUAAUCCUGAAAUGAGAAGGAUCCACUCUUUCCCAACAAAUAAACUAUUAACCUCAAAAAAUGUGGAAUUAAUUUAAUGAAUUAAUCUAUUUUUCUGUAACAAAAACAAUUAACUAUAUAAACAAAUAAGUUAUGCCAAUGAAAAGAUUGGUCG
rnacentral:lncRNA from 7 species